rnacentral:rRNA from 1 species
GACGUAGGGGGCCAGCGUUGUUCGGAAUUACUGGGUGUAAAGGGUUCGUAGGCGGUGUAGCAAGUCGGGAGUGAAAUCUCUGGGCUUAACCCAGAGGCUGCUUCCGAAACUGCUGUGCUUGAGUGUGGGAGAGGCGCGUGGAAUUGCAGGUGUAGCGGUGAAAUGCGUAGAUAUCGAGAGGAACACCUGCGGCGAAGGCGGGUUGCUGGGCUGACACUGACGCUGAUGCGCGAAAGCUAGGGGAGCGAACGGG